rnacentral:rRNA from 1 species
UACGUAGGGUGCGAGCGUUGUCCGGAAUUAUUGGGCGUAAAGAGCUCGUAGGCGGUCUGUCGCGUCUGCUGUGAAAACCCGAGGCUCAACCUCGGGCCUGCAGUGGGUACGGGCAGACUAGAGUGCGGUAGGGGAUAAUGGAAUUCCUGGUGUAGCGGUGAAAUGCGCAGAUAUCAGGAGGAACACCGGUGGCGAAGGCGGGUCUCUGGGCCGUAACUGACGCUGAGGAGCGAAAGCGUGGGGAGCGAACAGG